GCCAGCUCGCCUGACCCGCGUGCUCCUGGCAUCGCGGACGCCCGCCUCGCUGGGCACCCGCUCCCGGAGGCUCCGCCCCUUCCAGACAGUUCUACAGCAGCCGGGAGGAGGGUGUGUGCGCGACUGCAGGUGAAGUCAGGUCUGGACGUCCCACAGGAUAGCAUUUUAAUCUAAAAUGAAAUUAACUAAAAGCUGCGAUAACAUCUUCUGGAGCUACUAUAAAAAGCAUAAAUGAGCACCCGCAUGUCUGCUGAGAACUUGCUAACACGGAGCUUCCCGGGAAGAGUCUGCACCUGGCUGGGGACGCCCAGGAGCCUUCAGCUGCAGGGUUCAUGCUCUGUCCACACGUGCUGGUGGCCAAGGAUCAUGAUCAGGGCACAAAAUGUGUGUUAUCUGAUGGUUCCACAGCAAUCCAGUUUCUCCUAAGAUACGACUAUGCAGGUAAGCAUGUACCCAAUAACCUAAUCUAGAAUUGGGAUGAAGCUUUUGGGGUUGCUACCCACGAAAAAAAUAUGAACGUACCUCAUAAGGUGCCCUGCAGAAGAAAUGUAUUUAUAAGAAAUGUAGUCCACGAAUCUUAAUCCAAUUCAUUGCGAUCUCCAAAAACACUUUAGCCAGAUAAUUUUUAAAUUAAUUUUUAAUUCCCUGCAGUGUAUCACCGUCCUGAGAGGUGACAGCCCGUUUUCCAUCCCUGGCAUAAAUUCUUAUCUCUCUUCCACCGAGGACCAGACGGGGUGGCCGGAACCAGCUGCAGAACCAGUCUCCGGGCGGUAGGUGGCAUUAGCCACCUCCUCAGGCUGGGGAAGGAGCAUCCUUUGUUGAGUGGUUUCUUUAUUCAACCUAGAGAGGCCAGAAUUCAGAUUGGCCUCAAAUACUGAUUCUGAGUCUGUAGAGGCUCUGCUGAUCCACCAAAUGGGUACUUUUUUCCCCAACCUGCCAACUUCUAGUACCUUCUCCUGCCCUUCUCAGCACUUGACAUCCUGUGACAUUUACCAAGUCUGAACUGUGCUGUGAAGGCGUGUCAGUAUGGGGCUGGGGGAAGGGUGGUGGUGAGGACAACUCCGCACGUUGUCACUACACGCACACUUGCACGUGCGUGUUUGUUUACCUGAAGGUCCAGGUCCCGGGGUGUGAUCAUUGCAGAUACAGGACACUUGGUUGGCCAUGAGUGUUUGUGAUCGCUGUGUGUGUUUCUAUGCAGCUGCUCGUUGUCUUGCAUCAACCUUUCACAGGGAGACCGUAUUGCGUGCGUGCCCAUGACUCUGUCUUCUCUAAGUCCUUUUGGUGCUAAUUCUCUGCUCCUGGUUAUAAUUCCUGCAUCGGUUUUGAGGAACUAAGGACACAGAUGAACUUGACUUGGUGUCACAAACCAGAUCCCUUGUCAAUCAGAAGUCAUUCUUAAGAGAGCUGAGAAGUUUUAGGGGCGCCCGGGUGGCUCUGUCGGUUGAGCGUCCGGCUUCAGCUC